ACGCGCUGAUUCAGCACGCGCGCGCCGGGCGCCGCCGAGGACGCGGGAAGACCACGUGCCCCAACGCAGAGACCGGGCGAGUGUGGGAGACGGACUUUAGUCCCACAGCCCCAAAGCAACGUGCAAUUACACACGGACAGCGCGGCAGGUUGUCCUAAGCCCUGGAGCCACGGAGGUCAAGUCCAGUCCAGUGGUCACCGAGCAGCCCUUGGGCUGUGCGACUUAGGAGACUUUUCAAGUUCAGGACAUUCCUACGGGAUUAGGAGGCAGGGUAUGCUUCUCCUUCAGUCCCAAGACGCAUCUUCUCCUUGCCAGAUGGGACGGCCUUACAAGGAGCAGGCGAAGCCAGUCCCAGCCGUGAAACAUGACACCUGUGAAGCCAUGGACUGGAGGACUAUGGCGUUGACCCAGCCCUUUCAUAGGACCAAGUAGGAGAGCUCUUCAGUAGUGCUCUACUGCAGUGGCGUGGUGCCAUCCCUGAAGUCUGGGUGACUUUAAUAACC
rnacentral:lncRNA from 1 species